GACAGAGGGUGCAAACGUUGUUCGGAAUUACUGGGCGUAAAGGGCUCGUAGGCGGCCAACUAAGUCAGACGUGAAAUCCCUCGGCUUAACCGGGGAACUGCGUCUGAUACUGGAUGGCUUGAGUUCGGGAGAGGGAUGCGGAAUUCCAGGUGUAGCGGUGAAAUGCGUAGAUAUCUGGAGGAACACCGGUGGCGAAGGCGGCAUCCUGGACCGAUCCUGACGCUGAGGAGCGAAGGCCAGGGGAGCAAACGGG
rnacentral:rRNA from 1 species